AAUCAACGCUGGCGGCGUGCCUCAGACAUGCAAGUCGAACGAUUAAAGCUCUCUUCGGAGAGUGUAUAGAGUGGCGCACGGGUGAGUAACACGUAAGUAAUCUACCCUCGAGUGGGGAAUAACAACCGGAAACGGUUGCUAAUACCGCACAAUGCAGCGGCACCGCAAGGUGACAGUUGUUAAAGAUUUAUCGCUUGAGGAGGAGCUUGCGGCAGAUUAGCUAGUUGGUAGGGUAACGGCUUACCAAGGCUACGAUCUGUAACCGGUCUAAGAGGACGGUCGGUCACACUGACACUGAAUAACGGGUCAGACUCCUACGGGAGGCAGCAGUCGGGAAUUUUGGGCAAUGGGCGAAAGCCUGACCCAGCAACGCCGCGUGAAGGAUGAAGUAUUUCGGUAUGUAAACUUCGAAAGAAUAGGAAGAAUUAAUGACGGUACUAUUUAUAAGGUCCGGCUAACUACGUG
rnacentral:rRNA from 1 species